AUGAAAAUUACUUAGCAAUAAUCAUAUUGCCAUAUACAAUACUUUUUGCCACGAGUUUUCAUAAUAAAGAUUACGUAUUGCAAUACUAAACUUUUGCCAUUCUUUGGCUUCAAGAUUCAUUUUCAAUCGACAACUCUUGUAGUUGUCAAAGUAUUACAAUAUCAACUUUUGCCAUUUAUUUGGCUAACAAAACCUAUGUAUUCGCCGGCAUUUUUAUGCUGACUUUAUUUUCACAUAUGUUUCAGGACUUUUUGUUAGUUCUGUUAGUGCAUUAUCUGUCUAUUGCCUCCGUCAAUCUAGUCCGUAGCAGAAACCGAAGAAAACGAGAUUUAUAUUGUUAUAUUAGUAAUACUUAGUCAAAAAGGCAAGGUGGCAUAAUUGUAAUUAAUUAGAAAUCUCAUUAAAAGCUAAGGCCUAUAAAUAGGAGACUUUAUGUUUAGAUUAGGACUUUUGCUACAUUUUGUUAUUUGGAGCUUUCUAGAGCUAUAGAGAGAAACUAGAGAGAGAAAGUGACAUCGUGAUUCAGGUUCUUGUACGUUUUUGCAGAUUUGAUCAAUAGAAUCACAGAUUAUAUUACGUCUCGUGUGUUCGG
rnacentral:lncRNA from 1 species